rnacentral:rRNA from 1 species
AUGUGGUGUGCAACGUAUAUUCACUGCAGUAGGCCCACGCGACAGAAGGCCCAGGCUCGAGCGCCCAGAACCAAUCCGCCAUGCCUCAUCAGAAAAAAUAAACGCACCAAUCCCCUCAGCGCAGAGCACGCCACCGCCUUGAUCUACCUCUCCCGGCCAUCUCCGGCGACGCCGACGGGAUCCUGUCGGCUCACCCUACCCAUUUCCCCAACUCACCUGGUCCACCGUCGCCGCCGCCAAAUCCCCCACACUCUCCCGUCCUCUUCUCCCGGGAUGCAAGCAGCUGCGAGGAGGGGCGUGGCGGCGGCGGCCGCCGCGUCGGCGUCGGCGUCCUUCCACUCCACCGCCGCGGCGCUCUCCAAAUCCACGCCUCGUAUCCGGUUCAACGUCCGGGAAAAGCGCACCGACGCGAAGAAUGCCCUCAAGAACGUUCUACUUAACGGCGGUCCCUCCCAGGAAAGAUGUAAUAAGCAAACGAGGCAGCAGAAAGCUGGUGGCAAAUCGAAAGUCCGCUCCGGUCCUGGAAGUAAUCCGUAUAGCAAAGGCAGAGGUGGGAUAGACUGGAGGAACUUUGAUGGUGAUGAUUCUAGUGAUAGCCCUUACGGGAGCUUUGGCGGCAAGACAUCUUUUACGUGGUACUGGCCCGGGGAGGAGGAUGAUGAUGACCUUCCUAAUGGGUUCCAAUGGAGGGAGGAGCCUCGACCGAACAAAUCAAGGGAAAAAGUUUGGAACGAGAGUGAUGUGGAUGAGGAAGAGGCCCCUCGUCGUGACGAUCUAAAAAGCCAUAGAAUAUCCCUUGGCUUGCCAGUUUUGGGUCCCUUAAAGCUUGAUCAUAUCAAGUCCGCUUUUCGCGCGUCAGCUCUCAAGUGGCACCCGGACAAGCACCAAGGAUCUUCACAGGCUGAAGCAGAGGAUAAGUUCAGGCGCUGCGUCGAAGCUUACAACGCCUUGUCUGGUGCUUUCAAACGGAGUAGCUAA